UCGAGGGGCAGCGGGAUUGAAGCUUGCUUCAAUUGCCAGCGACCGGCGCACGGGUGAGUAACGCGUAUCCAACCUUCCGUACACUCAGGGAUAGCCUUUCGAAAGAAAGAUUAAUACCUGAUGGUAUGAUGAGAUUGCAUGAUAGCAUCAUUAAAGAUUCAUCGGUGUACGAUGGGGAUGCGUUCCAUUAGGUAGUAGGCGGGGUAACGGCCCACCUAGCCUACGAUGGAUAGGGGUUCUGAGAGGAAGGUCCCCCACAUUGGAACUGAGACACGGUCCAAACUCCUACGGGAGGCAGCAGUGAGGAAUAUUGGUCAAUGGACGAGAGUCUGAACCAGCCAAGUAGCGUGAAGGAUGAAGGUCCUACGGAUUGUAAACUUCUUUUAUAAGGGAAUAAAACCUCCCACGUGUGGGAGCUUGUAUGUACCUUAUGAAUAAGCAUCGGCUAACUCCGUGCCAGCAGCCGCGGUAAUACGGAGGAUGCGAGCGUUAUCCGGAUUUAUUGGGUUUAAAGGGAGCGCAGACGGGUCGUUAAGUCAGCUGUGAAAGUUUGGGGCUCAACCUUAAAAUUGCAGUUGAUACUGGCGUCCUUGAGUGCGGUUGAGGUGUGCGGAAUUCGUGGUG
rnacentral:rRNA from 1 species